rnacentral:ribozyme from 1 species
AGCAACAACAAUCGGGACAGAAAAUGGACCAAAGCGUUGCUGCUGCGCCUGCUACGGUGACGGAAAAGUCGUGCUGCCAGCAACAGGUCGAUACACUCGAAGCUGAUGCCGGUAUGGAUGAGGAGCCAAAGCAGCAGUCAAAC